UCCUGAACUUCCUUUUAAAGAGACUGAUGUAUCUCAAACAUACAUUUUCCCCCAUUCCCCUCCAUCGCUCUCUAUCCAAUUGCGUCCUUUUCCGUUAACAUCCCCUUCCAAACAAACCCCGAGUCUACAACACAAAUAUCUCACCGGAAAGUGACGUAAUUGCCGGCGAUAUGAUACGAGCGGUUAUUGUAAUUAACGAUCAAGUCAAGCCUCGCCUUGUCAAACCUCGAGUCCACAACACAAAUAUCUCACCGGAAAGUGACGUAAUCGCCGGCGAUGAUACGAGCGGUUAUUGUAAUUAACGAUCAAGGCAAGCCUCGCCUUGUCAAAUUCUACGACUAUCAGCCGGUGGAGAAACAACAGGAAAUCAUUCGGAACAUAUACGGAGGACUGGCAUUAAGCCGGCGCGAGGGCGUAUUACAAUCAAAUUAGGUAGAGAUGAUGGUUUGAAACACCCAACCUGCUAUGAAUUCGUGCACAGUUGCCCUAAUAUAACAACCUUGGCAAUAAAAGGAUUCAAGUUGCAUGGUUACAAGGCCCGUAUGCUGGUCAAGGGGCUUCGCAAAUUGAAAAUUGUUGAUUUCUCAACGCCUUAUUCAUUCACGGGUGCCUUUUUGAAGUUUGGAUUACAUGAACCUUGGUGCCAAUGGUGGUGGAAAACAUCUGGAGGUUAUGAUAUUACGAGACUGCAUGCAUCUCAAAGAAAUUGAAGUUGAGCACUUUACGGGAGCUGUUCUUGCAGGAGAAUUCGAGCGUUUAAGACAUCUUGUACGUAAAAGAUAAAUUAUUGAGUUACUAUUCUUCUCUUUAUAGGUGGCAAUUUCAACCUAUUUACUGAAGCAUUGGUUUUUUAAUCUCUUAACAUGUCAAACGGGUAAAAACCAAUAACUAAAAAGGAAACAGUGCGAAAGCCUUUUAAAGUCUAUUUUUAAUGCAAAAAAUGCCUUAAAUCGUUCUGUUCAAAAAGCAAAUUAUUCUUUAAUAGUCUUGGUUUUUGUAAUCAUAUAUAUCACCUCUGCAUAUUCUAUAGG